rnacentral:rRNA from 1 species
GACGACGAGGUAGAUAGGUGAAAGGUGGAAGCACGGUGACGUGUGGAGCUGAUUCAUACUAAUAGGUCGAGGGCUUAACCGA